rnacentral:rRNA from 1 species
CUAGUCUUAUCGAUGGAUCACUCUGCUC